AUUCAGUUGAUGAGUGCCAAAUAGGACGAAACACACUUACUGGAU
rfam:Schistosoma curassoni strain Dakar, Senegal genome assembly, scaffold: SCTD_contig0004931